rnacentral:lncRNA from 1 species
CAGCACUGCACAGCAAGCACAGCACCGUGCACCAUGCACACCACCAGCACCCAGCACUGCACACCCAGUACAGCAUCAUGCAUCCAGCACACAGCACCAUGCACCCAGCACAGCACCAGCACUGUGCACCCAGCACCAGCACCCAGCACAGGACCAGCACCCUGCAUCCAGAACACAACACUGCACACCCAGCACUCAGCACCCAGCACAGCACCAGCACCCAGCAUGGCACCGUGCACCCAGCACACAGCACCAUGCACCAAGCACAGCACCGUGCACCAGCACCCAGCACACAGCACCGUGCAUCCAGCACAGCACCGUGCACCAAGCACAGCACCGUGCACCCUGCAUCCAGAACACAACACUGCACACCCAGCACACAGCGCCCAGCACAGCACCAGCACCCAGCACCGUGCACCCAAAGGAGCAAUGUGGGGCCCAUGUAGGGACACGGCUGCUGUGCAAAAGCAAACGAAAGAGCAUCAAUAACGAGAGCCAGUCACCAGGGCAGUGAGAGGGAAUCCCCAUGGAGGCAACGCGUGCUGCGCGCUGGUGCAGUGCUGUGCUGGGUGCACGGUGCUGUGUGCUUGGUGCACGGUGCUGUGCGCUGGGUGCACGGUGCUGUGCGCUGGGUGCACGGUGCUGUGCGCUGGGUGCACGGUGCGUGCGAGGCAGCAGGGCUGCGGACGAGCAUCAGCAAAUAGCUGCCCCAGACAGCAGCGUGUUUUCUUCCUGGUGCGUGACCCGAAGCACCCAGGGAUUGGCAAUGAUGGCUCACCCCAAACUUCCUCGCAUUUGGCCCCGGCCCCGCGAGGCGGCCACCCAGCUCCUGUGCCGCCGACGGAGCCGGGCCGCUCGCAUCUGUCCCCCGGGGAUGCAGCAGAGGAGCAGGGGACAGAGCCCUGGGGUCCGUUCUGGCCACGGCACCGCUCCCGAGCGUGCCCUCCCGGCGUUAGAACGCACAUCACCACGUGCCAGCGUCGGCUGGGGACGGACGUGGGCCGUCCAAAACGAGACGUGACUCCGGGUCACCGCUCUGCCCAGGACAGCGGGGCCGUCCCGGUGGGGUUGGUGGGUCCCCAAGGAAAACCCACAUCACCCGGAUCUCCGACGGGUGCAAUUCAGCCACAGCCGUCGUGCGGUGCUUGGAACAAACGCGUCCCCGCCGCUCGGGCUCACGCAGCGUUAGUCCCCAGCCAAAAAUCGGACAACUCUCCCCAUCCCAGCCCCAAAUCCGCUUUCCCGACAGCUCUCCCCACCCCUGACAUCGUCCCAGGAUCCGCAGCAGCCGGUGCUCAGCUCGGCGCAGCCCUCAGGGGGUGCUGGGCACCUGGAGAACCCGGCCCGAAGCGACCGUGGCUGGGAUCCGCCGGGCUGGGAGCGCAGGGGUGCAGACGUGGGGGGCUGGACGGGGGGCAGCAGGGAUGGAGGGGAGAGAGACGGAGCCCUGACCCACGGGCACGGAGCCGGGCAGGUGACCCCAUCCCAGCACAGCUCAGACUGGGACGGGGAAGCGGUGGAGUCCCCGUCCCUGUAGGUGUCCGGGAACCGUGGGGAUGUGGCACGGGGGGGGACACGGGCAGCGGGCAGGGUGGGGGUGGGCGGGCUGGAAGAUCGAGGAUCUUGGAAGCCUUCUCCAGCCUUAACAAGCCCACCGUUGCGUUUAGGGACGUGGUUUAUCAUGGGCGCAGCGGUGACGGGUUGGAGGCUGAGCUCGGCGUCCAUCCUUCAUGGCUCUCUGAGCUCCGACUUCGAGCCAGGGACGCCCAAACGCAGGGCAGCCCCCCCCCCCCUCCCCCUCCCAUAACGCAGGACGGACAGAACGGGAUGACUUUGGGUUGGGCCCUUUUCUGUGCUCGUUGUCCCACCUCCGCCCGGGGCGAGGAUUUACCCCGGCUCUGGCGUCGGUCCCGAGUGCC